GAGACAUAAGCUGUCCACAGGCUUUACCCCCACUGUUUUUAAGUCACUGGAGCUGUAUGGGAUAUUUGGGGAAAAGACGACACAUCUAAGGUCCAGAUUUCCACUCACAGACACUAUGAACAUAGAUUUAGACAAGCGCAGACUGAAGUACCUGGCCUUCAAUGUACAGGAGGAUCUGCUGUUAGAGAGAGAAUACUCCAGAAGG